AUGAUAAAGCGCCUGUAUUGCUAGCCCACUUGUACACGUUAAGUUAUUGUACCUAUUUAAGGGAAUCUUCUGACUAGUGCUAACAUGGCCUGGAUUGUUGUCCAUGAUAAAAUUGCUGAUAUAUAUGUAUUUAAUUAUUAUUUUUAAAAUUUGUUUUAUUAAUAUGUUGAAAAUUUUUUUUUUCUUUAUUAUUUUGAAAAUAAGAAUGACCGUAGAACAGAUUUAGCGCUACAUCUAUGUGUAUAAUACAAACAGCAGCCAUGUUUUUUUUUUAUUUCUGUAUCAGGGGGAUGUACUUCUCAGCUAAAAAUGUCCUUUGUAACAUAAAAUUUGCAUAGUUGAAAUUAAAAAAAUGGAAUAAUUGU
rnacentral:misc_RNA from 1 species